GAUGAACGCUAGCGGGAGGCCUAACACAUGCAAGCUGAGCGGUAUUGUUUCUUCGGAAACGAGAGAGCGGCGUACGGGUGCGGAACACGUGUGCAACCUGCCUUUAUCAGGGGGAUAGCCUUUCGAAAGGAAGAUUAAUACUCCAUAAUAUAAUAGAUGGCAUCAUUUAUUAUUGAAAACUCCGGUGGAUAGAGAUGGGCACGCGCAAGAUUAGAUAGUUGGUGAGGUAACGGCUCACCAAGUCAAUGAUCUUUAGGGGGCCUGAGAGGGUGAUCCCCCACACUGGUACUGAGACACGGACCAGACUCCUACGGGAGGCAGCAGUGAGGAAUAUUGGACAAUGGGUUAGCGCCUGAUCCAGCCAUCCCGCGUGAAGGACGACGGCCCUAUGGGUCGUAAACUUCUUUUGUACAGGGAUAAACCUAUCUACGUGUAGAUAGCUGAAGGUACUGUACGAAUAAGCACCGGCUAACUCCGUGCCAGCCGCCGCGGUAAUAC
rnacentral:rRNA from 1 species